rnacentral:rRNA from 1 species
UACGGAGGAUCCAAGCGUUAUCCGGAUUUAUUGGGCGUAAAGGGUGCGUAGGCGGCGCGGUAAGUCGGGUGUGAAAUCUCGGAGCUUAACUCCGAAACUGCAUUCGAUACUGCCGUGCUUGAGGACUGGAGAGGAGACUGGAAUUUACGGUGUAGCGGUGAAAUGCGUAGAUAUCGUAAGGAAGACCAGUGGCGGAAGGCGGGUCUCUGGACAGUUCCUGACGCUGAGGCACGAAGGCCAGGGGAGCAAACGGG